UCCCUAGAGGACUAGUGGUUAAGCCUCGGCACACUCGCUGCCACGGCCAGGGUUCGAUACCCGGCCAGGGAA